UGAGCAGGUCAUGUGGUCGCUGCCUCCGGCAGGUGUAAAUGCUGGGGGGAGAGGAAAGUCCGGGCUCCGCAGGGCAGGAGGGCUGUUAACGGCAGCCGGGGGAGACCCUAGGGAAAGUGCAACAGAAAGGAUACCGCCUGCGAUGAAUGACUGCGGGUAAGGGUGAAAAGGUGAGGUAAGGGCUCACCGCUUUUAUCGGUAACGAUGAGAGUUUGUAAACCCCCUCUGGAGAAAGGUUGAAUAGGAUUUGCAUUUUGGGCUGCCCGCCCAAUUCCAUAGAGAUAUGGAAGGCAAACGGGUACCAACCGCAGAAGUGGACGGGCAACCGUAGAGCUUAGAUGAAUGACCAUAUAAAACAGAAUCCGGCUUAUGACCUGCUCAUAAA
rnacentral:RNase_P_RNA from 1 species